GUAUGUCAUGUGGCAACCUCGCCACUGCAUGCAUUUGUGUAGACCUAGCUGGUUACAUGGCCUCUUGAUGCAAUCCAGAGACAAGGUCUUUGGCAUAACCUUCCAUCGCAGGCAGAGAGUUAGCCUUGCUGGCUGGGGCCAAUCGACAGCUAAGACAGGGACCGAUGCAUUUGUGAAUUAGAAAACAAUAUUACUUUGUAAGAAGAAUGAAACUUUACUAUUAGUAAAUGCCUACCACUGGAUGCUUAAGGAAAAACAAACAAACAAACAAACAAAACGAAGCUGCUUUGGAAAGAAAAGGAGUGAGAUGAGAUGGAAGGUAGAGGUUGAAUGUCACUUAAGAGGUGGUGUGGUUGAAGAUGCUAUGGCGUCAGGCAUUGGAAACAGGAAAAUUUUCUCAGUAUUUCCAGUGUUCCACACCUUAGACAAGAAGAAAGAGAGUCUUGGGAGUUUUGGAAGGAAAACACUCAUCCUAUCCUGGGUAGUUAAUACAUGCUAGUGCCUUACCCAUGAACACCCUUCCUAGGCAGUUUUUAAGGCGAGAAACCUAAAGUUCAAAGAAGUUAUAUAACUUAUCAAAGAUCACAGAAUUCUCAAGUGAAGGAAGUGCUAUUCAAGCUCAGCCCCCUCUGACUCUGGAGUCUACACCCAUGCUGCUCUACUUUGUGGUCAUACCCAUGAAGGUGCUGGCUUUCAGACAGAACUACAUUUCCUACAGGAAAAUGGGAAUGAUAGAGGCACUUACCCUGUGUAAAAGUUCAUGAUAUAGGAAAUGCUCAGUCAGACAUGGCUCUGCUUAGAAAACACACAUGAGUUUUCUGUAUAUAAUCAUGAGACUAAUAAAGUCAUUACAUUACUUA